UUUUUUUAGUAAAACGGAGUUUUGCUCUUGUUGCCCAGGCUGGAGUGCAAUGGCACAAUCUCAGCUCACGGCAACCUCCGCCUCCUGGGUUCAAGCAAUUUCUCCUGCCUCAGCCUCCCGAGUAGCUGGGAUUAUAGGCAUCUGCCACCACGCCCAGCUAAUUUUGUGUUUUUAGUAGAGACGGUGUUUCACCAUGUUGGUCAGGCUGGUCUCGAACUCCCGACCUCAGGUGAUCUGCCCUCCUCGGUCUCCCAAAGUGCUGGAAUUACAGGCGUGAGUCACCGCGCCCAGCCAAUAGAUUUUAUGUGAAAAGAAAGCAGGAUAAUGAUGAUGAAAAAAUUCAGAACAAUGCCCUUAGAUGAGAGGUGGCAAGGGAUGCGCUAGUAAGUGGUACUAUAUGGUCAAAGCUCCAGCUUUCUUGGGGUUAGUAGAGUCAGGAUGCUUAUAUUAGGAAACUAAAAGAGGCCAUGUAUGAACCAAUGCUGAGAGUGUCUUGAACCAGGGAUUAUGAUUAAUCCAAUAUUCUGUACCGGAAGUCCAAAGUAUCAAAAGCAGAAAGUUAAUUAUAAAGCUGUUUUGAUGAUCACAUUUUAGAACUUGAAGGUUAUGCAAGGAAAGGUGUUGAAUCAGCCUCAGCAUUCAAUUUGUAUUUCUUUUUAAAAUUGUCACACAUAAAAAACAAACAUUCACAGUCUUCCAGUUUCACUACACCUAAAUACACUGUUAAUCAAGAGUUUUCUCGUACUUCAGUCUUCCAUACUAAUUUUUCUGGGAUGUUUGUGCUCAAGUCUGGUGCAAAGUGUCCUCUCCCCUAGUUAUCCUACAAUGCUAACUUGUACUGCACAGUGCAGUCUUGAAAUCAUUCCUUUACUUCAAGCACAACUCAAAAGCCGUGUAUUUUCUAAUGUGAAAACAGUUUUUACUAAACUAACAAUGGCUAUACUUCCCCUUUCUCAUAGUUUCCAGAACAUCUUACCAAGACCAGCUCGGUCAUGGAGACCCUAACCCAGUGGCGCUAGAGGAAUUAAGACAAAGACACAGAGUGCAGAGUGGGAAUCAGGGGGCUGACAGCCUUCAGAGCUGAGAACCCUAAACAGAGUUUGACCUGCAUAUUUAUUGACAGCAAGCCAGUGAUGAGAAUUAUUUCUAUAGAUUAUAGAUUAGCUAAAAGCCUUCCUUAUGGGAAACAAAGGGACAGGCUCUGGCUUGUUAUCCGCAGCUGGAACAUGUCCUUAAGGCAUAGAUCGCUCAUGCUAUUGUUUGUGGUUUAGGUACGCCUUGAGCGGUUUUCUGCCCUGGGUGGGCCAGGUGUUCCUUGCCCUCAUUCCAGUAAACCAGCAACCUCCAGCGUGGGUGUCAUAGCCAUCACAAGCAUGUCACAGUGCUGUAGAGAUUUGUUUAUGGCCAGUUUCUCAUGGCCUGUUUAUGGCCAGAUUUGGGGGACCUGUUCCCAGCAACAUCUAAACAGAUAUUAUUGGGAAUUUAGGAAAGGAUACUUUGUUGUGGUGUCUUUUCAGAGACUGGCUUCCUGGCCAUUUUCCCUUCUUUUUAUUAACACAUAAGCAUCAAGAUUAAUUCAGAAGGCCAGUAGAAUAGAAAGUCAGAAUGUGGAGAUGGGAGACAGAAUGUAACCAAUGAAAGAUGUUAACAUCUGGAAUGAAAUCAAAGAAUCUACGUAAAGACUCUUGAAACUUAUAAGCAGUUAUAGUAAGAUUGCAGGAUAAAAGGUUAAUACAAAAAAAAAGGUGAAUAUAUAAUACAAAAGCCAAUUGCUUUGCUAUAUACCAGCAAUGAAAAAUUUAAAUUUAAAAUUAAAAACACCAUUCACACCAGGUGCAGUGGCUCACGACUGUAAUCCCUGCACUUUGGGAGGCCGAGGCAGGUGGAUCACGAGAUCAAGAGAUCAAGACCAUCCUGGCCAAGAUGGUGAAACCCUGUCUCUUCUAAAAAUAC
rnacentral:lncRNA from 10 species